CAUAGAAAAAAAUAUUUUUGUAUGUGAUGGGCAUUGAAAAAACAAAAGUAUCAUUAUUAAGUUAUCCAUCUAUAACAGUCUCUAGAUCCCUCUUUCCUAACUCCUUCUAAUCACAUAUCCACAUUCUUUGCAUUCUAUACUCCCUUUUUUAUGCCUUAACAUCCCUGUUAAAAAGUUGGGUCCACCCAUCUAGCCAUGGUGCUCCUUCCUUUAACUUGACAAAAUGCUCUUAUUUUACCUGUUACCUCACACAAAGAAAGUGCAAAGAAACCAAGAUGAACCACAAUCAAAUUAGGAGAUAUGUUCCAAUGGAAAUAGGAACAAAUUUGUUUCCUUUAAUCCACUAGAUUACUGUAGACUUCCUGGUAAAUUGCUUAUUCAUUCAUAUAUUUACUUCAUUUUACUUUAUCUGUGUCUGUUUCUGAGUAUUUUUUUCACCUCUAUACUCUUUUACAGCAUCCAGGGAAUUGUUUUGUGCUUAUCAAAGGAGGUUUCUGUUUUUUCUACACCCAUGUAUGCUUUGUGCAAAGCAUAGUGCCAGUGCAUCUCUUGGACACUACUCACCAGACUGUUAACUGGAUCAUAUCUUACUGUUUCCGGUUUGUCUUAUUCUGAAUCUGAAGCACAGGCAGGCCUACAGACUGGUGUGGCACAGUUCCACAUUCGCCAUCCCGACACACAACAAGGUGAGUGUAUCCAUGGGCUAUUGGUGUAAAACCCUGAGCUCUUGCCCUUGGAAGAACUUCUUGCUGCUGGCUUUGUAUGUAAAUUGACCAGACACCCAAUUCUCAGAGUACUUUCUUCCUUCAAAGCCAUCUAACUCUUAAGCUCCCUUCUAGCUACAGUGAACUUGCAUUUGCAUUUUUAAGUAUUUCCUUUGUCCUGACCUGCUGCAUAAGCCUGAAGGCUCACAGAAACUGAUAUAUUUGUCUUCAAAUUCAAAGAUUUUACCAGGAAGUGGCUUGGAAUUAAUUUUUUUUUAGUACACAAAGUGACUUCCUUUCAACUAACUCCAU
rnacentral:lncRNA from 9 species